ACAAAGUUUUGGUCCUAAACUUGCCAUUGUUUUUAACCAGAAUUAUACAUGCAAGCCUCCACAGACCAGUGAGAAUGCCCACCACCCCCAACAGAACCCCGGAGCAGGUAUCAGGCCCAACCCAGAUUAGCCAACAACACCUUGCCUUGCCACACCCUCACGGGCCUUCAGCAGUAAUUAACACUAAGCUAUGAACGAAAGUUCGACUCGGUAAUGGUUUAAAAAGUCGGUAAAUUUCGUGCCAGCCACCGCGGUUACACGAAAGACUAAAAACAAUGGCCCUCGGCGUAAAGAGUGACCAGAAACAAACCCACGCUCUAAAGGAAAAACUACCACAAAGCCGUAAAACGCCACUGCGGAAAGGAAUUAACGCCUUUAAUAACGGGCACUUUUUUUCACGAAAGUUAAGAAACAAACUGGGAUUAGAUACCCCACUAUGCUUAACCCUAAACACAGACAAUACCCACACAAUAUUGUCCGCCAGAGAACUACUAGCGAAAAGCUUGAAACUCCAAGGACUUGGCGGUGCCCCACAUCACCCUAGAGGAGCCUGUCCUAUAAUCGAUACCCCACGUUAUACCUCACCAUCAUUUGCCAGUCAGCCUAUAUACCGCCGUCGUCAGCCCACCUUAUAAAAGACAAACAGUCGGCACAAAGGAAUGCACAAAUACGUCAGGUCAAGGUGUAGCACAUGAGAUGGAAGAGAUGGGCUACAUUUCCUGUCACAGAACAUACGAACGGCAAAGUGAAACACCAACCCAAAGGCGGAUUUAGCAGUAAAAUGAACAAGCAACCUCAUCUUAAACCUGCUCUGGGGCGCGCACACACCGC
rnacentral:ncRNA from 1 species